rnacentral:rRNA from 1 species
GAGCGUUGCGGGUGCUAUACAUGCAGUCGAGCGGACAGAUGGGAGCUUGCUCCCUGAUGUUAGCGGCGGACGGGUGAGUAACACGUGGGUAACCUGCCUGUAAGACUGGGAUAACUCCGGGAAACCGGGGCUAAUACCGGAUGGUUGUUUGAACCGCAUGGUUCAAACAUAAAAGGUGGCUUCGGCUACCACUUACAGAUGGACCCGCGGCGCAUUAGCUAGUUGGUGAGGUAACGGCUCACCAAGGCAACGAUGCGUAGCCGACCUGAGAGGGUGAUCGGCCACACUGGGACUGAGACACGGCCCAGACUCCUACGGGAGGCAGCAGUAGGGAAUCUUCCGCAAUGGACGAAAGUCUGACGGAGCAACGCCGCGUGAGUGAUGAAGGUUUUCGGAUCGUAAAGCUCUGUUGUUAGGGAAGAACAAGUACCGUUCGAAUAGGGCGGUACCUUGACGGUACCUAACCAGAAAGCCACGGCUAACUACGUGCCAGCAGCCGCGGUAAUACGUAGGUGGCAAGCGUUGUCCGGAAUUAUUGGGCGUAAAGGGCUCGCAGGCGGUUUCUUAAGUCUGAUGUGAAAGCCCCCGGCUCAACCGGGGAGGGUCAUUGGAAACUGGGGAACUUGAGUGCAGAAGAGGAGAGUGGAAUUCCACGUGUAGCGGUGAAAUGCGUAGAGAUGUGGAGGAACACCAGUGGCGAAGGCGACUCUCUGGUCUGUAACUGACGCUGAGGAGCGAAAGCGUGGGGAGCGAACAGGAUUAGAUACCCUGGUAGUCCACGCCGUAAACGAUGAGUGCUAAGUGUUAGGGGGUUUCCGCCCCUUAGUGCUGCAGCUAACGCAUUAAGCACUCCGCCUGGGGAGUACGGUCGCAAGACUGAAACUCAAAGGAAUUGACGGGGGCCCGCACAAGCGGUGGAGCAUGUGGUUUAAUUCGAAGCAACGCGGAAGACCUUACCAGGUCUUGACAUCCUCUGACAAUCCUAGAGAUAGGACGUCCCCUUCGGGGGCAGAGUGACAGGGGGUGCAUGGUGUCGUCAGCUCGUGUCGUGGGAUGUGGGUUAAGUCCCGCACGAGGCGCAACCUUUGAUCUUAGUUGCCAGCAUUCAGUUGG